rnacentral:rRNA from 1 species
UACAGAGGUCUCAAGCGUUGUUCGGAUUCAUUGGGCGUAAAGGGUGCGUAGGCGGCGCGGUAAGUCGGGUGUGAAAUUUCGGAGCUUAACUCCGAAACUGCAUUUGAUACUGCGGUGCUUGAGGACUGGAGAGGGAUGUAGUAUGAUGGUAGCAGUGAAAUGCGUAGAUAUCGUGAGGAAGACCAGUGGCGAAGCGGAUGUCUGGCAGUCCUGACACUGAGGCACGAAGGCCAGGGGAGCAAACGGG